rnacentral:rRNA from 2 species
UAGGGAAUUUUCCACAAUGGGGGCAACCCUGAUGGAGCAAUGCCGCGUGAGAGAAGAAGGCCUUAGGGUUGUAAAUCUCUGUUAUAAGGGAGGAAAUGUGCAAAGAGGAAAUGCUUUGUACUUGACAAUACCUUAUCAGAAAGCCACGGCUAACUACGUGCCAGCAGCCGCGGUAAUACGUAGGUGGCGAGCGUUAUCCGGAAUUAUUGGGCGUAAAGGGUGCGCAGGCGGUUAUAAAAGAUUGUGGUUAAAGAAUGGAGCUCAACUCCAUAAUGCCAUGAUAACUGUAUAACUAGAGUACAGAAGAGGAAAGUGGAAUUCCAUGUGUAGCGGUGAAAUGCGUAGAUAUAUGGAGGAACACCAGUGGCGAAGGCGACUUUCUGGUCUGUAACUGACGCUGAGGCACGAAAGCGUGGGGAGCAAAUAGG